rnacentral:rRNA from 1 species
AGAGUUUGAUCCUGGCUCAGAACGUACGCUGGCGGCACGCCUAACACAUGCAAGUCGAACGAAGUAGCAAUACUUAGUGGCAGACGGGUGAGUAACAUGUAGGUAUCUGCCCUUUGGCCUGGAAUAACACGAGGAAACUUGUGCUAAUACCGGAUAAGUCUUUACGGAGAAAGCUUUAUGCACCAUUGGAUGAGCCUGCACUUGAUUAGUUUGUUGGUGGGGUAAUGGCCUACCAAGACUGUGAUCAAUAGCUGAUUUGAGAGGAUGAUCAGCCACAUUGGGACUGAGACACGGCCCAAACUCCUACGGGAGGCAGCAGUAGGGAAUCUUGCACAACGGGGGAAACCCUGAUGCAGCGAUGCCGCGUGAGUGAAGAAGGCCUUUGGGUUGUAAAGCUCUUUCGUCGGGGAAGAAAAUGACUGUACCCGAAUAAGAAGGUCCGGCUAACUUCGUGCCAGCAGCCGCGGUAAUACGAAGGGACCUAGCGUAGUUCGGAAUUACUGGGCUUAAAGAGUUCGUAGGUGGUUAAAAAAGUUGGUGGUGAAAUCCCAGAGCUUAACUCUGGAACUGCCAUCAAAACUUUUUAGCUAGAGUAUGAUAGAGGAAAGCAGAAUUUCUAGUGUAGAGGUGAAAUUCGUAGAUAUUAGAAAGAAUACCAAUUGCGAAGGCAGCUUUCUGGAUCAUUACUGACACUGAGGAACGAAAGCAUGGGUAGCGAAGAGGAUUAGAUACCCUCGUAGUCCAUGCUGUAAACGAUGUGUGUUAGACGUUGGAAAUUUAUUUUCUGUGU